rfam:Gossypium hirsutum cultivar TM-1 chromosome 1, whole genome shotgun sequence
AUUCCAUGAUGAGGCACUUCCGUAAUAAUUCUUUGUACCUCUCCCAUGCCUCAUACAAGGACUCAUCAUCCAUUUGUUGGAAAGUAGUGAUCUCGUUCCUCAACUU